rnacentral:lncRNA from 1 species
CCACUUCCAUUCCAGGUUCUCUGACAGGUUUUAUAACUAUUGCUGAAAUAAGCAAAUGCUCGAUUUAGAGGACCAAAAAAAGAUCGAGAUAUUAAGUCAAACAAUUUCAACUAACGUAUCCGGUACAAAAAAAUUUCAUCCAUGAAAUGAAAGUCUAGCCUAAUGCCUAUAAGAACAAACAUUGCUUAUGCAAAGAGAAACACUAGCCUAAAGAGUAAGUUCACAAGGAAACUAGUUAACAUGAAUUUAUGUGAGCUAGCCUAAAGAGUGUCUUUGGCAGCUUCUGAGUACUAGUUCACCGGGAUUCUUGUGGGUAAAAGUGAUUCUUAUAAGUUCUAUUGCUUUUCGUUAGUUUAGUACUUUAUUUUGGUCCUUAUAGACAACAUUCAGACAAGAAAGGUUGAUCAUGACAUGGACCUCAUAGGCAAGCUUUCUUUCUUCACAUUGACAAGGAGAAAGUCCUUCACAAACCAUAAUAUCUCCAGCCAGUAAGUUCAACUAGGCAAAAAUAGUAUCCAAGGAAAAUAACAUAACGAAGAAUAAACAGUUGAUCACUACGUAAUUUUUCAUGAUGAAAAAGUGUUUAACCUUUUAAUUAGCAUCGUCCACAUUCACAAUAUGUCGGUAAAAGUAUAACAAAUAAGAAGGAAGUUAAUUAGCGUAACUUAGGAAGGAAACUGACCGGGAUGUAAUACAAAAUUUUACACGAAAAGGAAUUAACGGGAGGAAUUCCAAGAAAGUAAAUGUCACUCGCUGUUUUUACCUUUUUGUAUAGCAAACAACAUCAUGCCAAAUGAUUUUCAUUUAAACUAUCACUUAUGAAAUCAUACCUGAAUUUAUUAGCUGACUUUUGCAUUGCGUAAGUUAGUUGCCCAGAUCGAUUCAAGCAUCUGAGAUAAGAACUCUUAGUAAACCUACUCUAUCCCAUUAGGAUAUCCACAUAGCUAUUUCAAAUUCUCAAUUAACAAAAAGUAAAGGAACAUAGAAAGAAAAAAACCCAAAAGGAGCAGCCAUUUGCAUCUGCAUUUCCGUGUUCCAGGG